rnacentral:rRNA from 1 species
GACGAACCGUGCGAACGUUGUUCGGAUUCACUGGGCUUAAAGGGCGCGUAGGCGGCUGGCCAAGUCAGGGGUGAAAUCUUUCGGCUCAACCGGAAAAUUGCCUUUGAUACUGGCCGGCUGGAGGGAGGUAGGGGCAGAGGGAACUUCCGGUGGAGCGGUGAAAUGCGUAGAUAUCGGAAGGAACGCCGGUGGCGAAAGCGCUCUGCUGGACCUCCACUGACGCUGAGGCGCGAAAGCCAGGGGAGCAAAC